AUUGAACGCUGGCGGCAGGCCUAACACAUGCAAGUCGAGCGGCAGCGGGAAAGUAGCUUGCUACUUUUGCCGGCGAGCGGCGGACGGGUGAGUAAUGCCUGGGGAUCUGCCCAGUCGAGGGGGAUAACUACUGGAAACGGUAGCUAAUACCGCAUACGCCCUACGGGGGAAAGCAGGGGACCUUCGGGCCUUGCGCGGUUGGAGGAACCCAGGUGGGAUUAGCUAGUUGGUGAGGUAAUGGCUCACCAAGGCGACGAUCCCUAGCUGUCUGAGAGGAUGAUCAGCCACACUGGAACUGAGACACGGUCCAGACUCCUACGGGAGGCAGCAGUGGGGAAUAUUGCACAAUGGGGGAAACCCUGAUGCAGCCAUGCCGCGUGUGUGAAGAAGGCCUUCGGGUUGUAAAGCACUUUCAGCGAGGAGGAAAGGUUGGUAGCUAAUAACUGCCAGCUGUGACGUUACUCGCAGAAGAAGCACCGGCUAACUCCGUGCCAGCCGCCGCUGUAA
rnacentral:rRNA from 1 species